rnacentral:rRNA from 1 species
ACUCAAAUGAAUUGACGGGGACCCGCACAAGCGGUGGAGCAUGCGGUUUAAUUCGAUGAUAAGCGAGGAACCUUACCAAGGCUUGACAUGUACCUGCAUACGUUAGAGAUAGCGUAGCCUUCGAGGGUGGUACACAGGUGCUGCACGGUUGUCGUCAGCUCGUGCCGUGAGGUGUUCACUUAAGUGUGAAAACGAGCGCAACCCCUAUCAUAAGUUACAAGUGUCUUAUGAAACUGCCGGCGUUUAAGCCGGAGGAAGGCGGGGAUGACGUCAAAUCAGCGUGGCUCUUACGCCUUGGGCGACACGCGUGCUACAAUGGGAUGGAACAAAGGGACGCCAAACCGUAAGGUGGAGCAAAUCCUUAAAAACAUCCCCCAGUUCGGAUUGAGGGCUGCAACUCGCCCUCAUGAAGCCGGAAUCGCUAGUAACCGUAAAUCAGCCUCGUUACGGUGAAUACGUUCUCGGGUUUUGUACACACCGCCCGU